UGUCUGCAACUCACUUAACUCUCCUAUAUGCCCUUGCAUAAAGGGGUUUACACCGAGAUUGAAAGAAGAGUGGAACAGCAGAAAUUGGACCAGGGGUUGCAUUAGAGAAACAGAAUUGAAUUGUUAGAAGAACACAAGCAGGCCAGCUUCAAUGCAGGUGAAGAAAGAUGUCUUUGUGCGGAUGAACCAGAUGAAAGUGCCUGAUUCUGUGGAAUAUUUAUCAGACAUCAGAGAUGAAGGAGGAUGCCAAAUCUGGUGCCUGAAUAAUUGUUCUUGCCUGGCUCAUUCUUAUAUCAGCAUGAGAGGGUGUUUUGUCUGGGCUAAAGAUCUCAUCAAUGUUCAGGAGUUUUCAACAGCUGGCCAAGAAAUAUAUAUUCAGGUCGCACAUGACAAUAUACAUACAAGAGGUUUGACUACAAUGAGUUUCAAUUGAACUGUAUCACGCAUCUUGCAAUUCUUUAUUCAUCUCAGGCAUGUCAACACAAGCAAAACUUAUCAUCAGCUUAAGUACUGUAAUUGCCAUCAUGUUUGUAGGAGCUGCAAUUUUUGUCCUCUGUGAGUGAAGAGAUAGCAAAAGAGGAGAAAUGUCAUAUGGAAUCGCAUGGAAAGAUCAGCUGAAGCAAGAUGAUGCAUCCAAAUUGACGCUGUUCACUUUUGGUAGCUUACUUAUUGUGACAGACAACUUUGGUUUGGCCCAGUUUAUGAGGUAAAAGACUUCUCUAAAAUUUUCAUUUAGUGAAAUUUUAUGCAUUAUCCAAGGUCUGGUACUUUAUGAGUUUGGAAACAGGGAAGGCUGAAUGAUGGAAAGGAGAUAGCUGUCAAAAUACUUUCCAGUAACUCAGGCCAAGACAUGGAGGAGUUUAAGAAUGAGAUCAUUCUUAUAUCGAAGCUCCAUAAUCGAAAUCUGGUCAGACUCCUGGAUUGCUGUAUUGAAGGAGAAGAAAAAAUUUUAGUAGAUGAAUAUUUGUUGAACAGAAGCUUAGAUUCAUUUCUAUUUGGUUGGCCUCACUCUCUUCAAGCCAUGCUUGAACUUAUGGAAAAAAAUAUACAUUUUUGUAGUACCUAAGUUACGAGUUCAUUUUAUUUACUUCCUUGUUUAGAUUCAAGAAGGAAAGCAGAACUCAACUGGGAUAUACAUUUCCAGAUCACUCAAGGGAUCACGAACGGGCUACCGUACCUCCAUCGAGAUUCUUACCUACAAGUUAUCCAUUGAGAUUUGAAGGCAAGCAAUAUUCUAUUAAAUGAGAUAAUGAACUCAAAAAUUGCGGACAUUGGACUGGCACAGAUCUUCGAAGGCACUUGAGUUUGGCUAAAUACUAACAAAGUUGUUGGAACACCAUAAGUUUUCAAGCCUUGUUGCUGGAAUUCAAUUCAAUUAGUAAACUCUAUAACCUGAAUGAUUAACAUGAUCGAAUCAAUUGCAGAGGAUAUAUGUCUCCCAAGUAAGCCAUGGGAGGAAUAUCUUCUGAGAAAUCCAAUGUCUAUAGCUUUGGAGUGUUGCUACUUGUGAUCGUCACUAGCAAAAAGAAAAAAAAGCUUGUACUACUAUGGCCAGCAUUUCAAUCUUCUCUCCUUUGCAUGGCAAUUGUGGAGCGAAGAUAGAGGACUCGACCUGACAGGUGAAGCAAUUGUUCAUUCUUGUUCGCCGUCAGAAGCGAUGAGAUGCAUUCAGGUAUGGCUACUCUUUGUGCAGGACCACCCGACAGACCGACCCAACAUGUUAUCCAUAUUUCUGAUGCUGAGUGGUGAAUCAGAACUUCCUCAGUCAAGACCGCCUACAUUCACCUUCAAAAGUGAAAUGCUGAGUCACGAUAUCAAGUCACAAUGGGAAUGCAUCUUGUCCACGAACACCAUCACAAAUUCUAUGGUCGAAGGGAGAUGAUGGUUAACAUUUUUUCUUCUGUAAACUUGUAAUGUCCUGCGCUGAAAGUUCAGUGUUCACUCAAUUUGAGAGACCUAGAACUUUGAUUCUUCAUGAACUAAUGAUUGAAAUUCCGCAAUUUUGUUUUCA